GUGCUUGCUUUGGCAGCAUAUAUACUAAGACUGGAACAAUACAGAGAUUAGCAUGGCCGCUUUGCAAGGGUGACACGCAAAUUUGUGAAAUGUUUCAUAUAUUG
rnacentral:snRNA from 1 species